rnacentral:rRNA from 1 species
CCUACGGGAGGCAGCAGUGAGGAAUAUUGGUCAAUGGGCGCGAGCCUGAACCAGCCAAGUAGCGUGAAGGAGGACUGCCCUACGGGUUGUAAACUUCUUUUGUCAGGGAGUAAAGUGAGGCACGUGUGCCUUUUUGUCUGUACUUUAUGAAUAAGCAUCGGCUAACUCCGUGCCAGCAGCCGCGGUAAUACGGAGGAUCCGAGCGUUAUCCGGAUUUAUUGGGUUUAAAGGGAGCGUAGAUGGGUUGUUAAGUCAGUUGUGAAAUGUUGGGGCUCAACCGUAGAAUUGCAAUUGAUACUGGCAGUCUUGAGUGGAGUAGAGGUAGGCGGAAUUCGUGGUGUAGCGGUGAAAUGCUUAGAGAUCACGAAGAACUCCGAUUGCGAAGGCAGCUUACUAGACUGCCACUGACACUGAGGCACGAAAGCGUGGGUAUCAAACAGGAUUAGAUACCCCAGUAGUC